rnacentral:rRNA from 1 species
GGCCUGUAGAUUAUAAUUUCAGGUCUGACCUGCCCGAUGAGGAGUUAAAUGGCCGCGGUAUAUUGACCGUGCAAAGGUAGCAUAAUCAUUAGUUUUUUAAUUGAAAGCUUGAAUGAAAGGUUUAAUGAGAGAAUUUCUGUCUCUAUAAAAUUUUAUUAGAAUUUUAUUUCUAAGUGAAAAAGCUUAGAUAUAUAUAGAAGACGAGAAGACCCUAUAGAGUUUUAUAUUUGGAAAAAUUUGAAUUUUUAGAAUUUUAUAUUUAAUUUUAAAAAAGUAUUUUAUUGGGGUGAUAAAAAAAUUAAUAAAACUUUUUUUAAUAUUAACAUUUAUUUAUGAACAUGUGAUCCUAUAUUUUAGAUUAUAAGAAAAAAUUACCUUAGGGAUAACAGCGUAAUUUUUUCUAGAGUUCUUAUCGAAGAAAAGGAUUGCGACCUCGAUGUUGGAUUAAAUUAAAUUAUUGGUGUAGAAGCUGAUAAAUUAGGUCUGUUCGACCUUUAAAAUUUUACAUGAUCUGAGUUUAAACCGGUGUGAG